rnacentral:misc_RNA from 1 species
UACGUGAGCCUCAAGCGUUACCCGGAUUUACUGGGCGUAAAGGGUGUGUAGGCGGCCAUGUUAGUCGUUUGUUAAAGACCGGGGCUUAACCUCGGUAAGGCGGGCGAAACGGCAUGGCUUGAGGAUGGCAGGGGCGCAUGGAACUCAUGGUGUAGGGGUGAAAUCCGUUGAUAUCAUGGGGAACACCGAAAGCGAAGGCAGUGCGCUGGGCCAUUCCUGACGCUGAGACACGAAAGCCAGGGUAGCGAACGGG